ACGGGAGGCAGCAGUGGGGAAUAUUGCACAAUGGGCGCAAGCCUGAUGCAGCGACGCCGCGUGAGCGAAGAAGUAUUUCGGUAUGUAAAGCUCUAUCAGCAGGGAAGAUAAUGACGGUACCUGACUAAGAAGCACCGGCUAAAUACGUGCCAGCAGCCGCGGUAAUACGUAUGGUGCAAGCGUUAUCCGGAUUUACUGGGUGUAAAGGGAGCGUAGGCGGUCAUGCAAGUCUGAUGUGAAAACCCGGGGCUCAACUUCGGGAUUGCAUUGGAAACUGUAAGACUAGAGUGUCGGAGGGGUAAGUGGAAUUCCUAGUGUAGCGGUGAAAUGCGUAGAUAUUAGGAGGAACACCAGUGGCGAAGGCGGCUUACUGGACGAUUACUGACGCUGAGGCUCGAAAGCGUGGGGAGCAAACAGGAUUAGAUACCCUGGUA
rnacentral:rRNA from 1 species